UUCCUAGUAGUCCAGCGGUUAGGACUUGGCGUUUUCACUGCUGUGGCCUGGGUUCAGUCCCUAAUUAGGGAA
rnacentral:tRNA from 1 species